rnacentral:tRNA from 1 species
GUUGAGAUAGCAAAUUGGUAAAUGCGGUAGUUUUAGGAACUAUUAUGAAAGGGUUCGAUUCUUUUUUUCAACU